rnacentral:rRNA from 1 species
CAACCUCUUGCUCUGGAAUACCCCGGGGAAACUCGGAUCAAUGCCAGAUAAAGUGCGGCGCUGCAGGGUGCCGUACCAAAGAUAGCUUCGGCCUUCGGCGAGAGACGAGUCCGCGGCCCAUUAGCUAGUUGGCGGGGUAAUGGCCCACCAAGGCUACGAUGGGUAGCUGGUCUGAGAGGAUGAUCAGCCACACUGGGACUGAGACACGGCCCAG